UAGGGAAUUUUCCACAAUGGGCGAAAGCCUGAUGGAGCAACGCCGCGUGCAGGAUGAAGGUUUUCGGAUCGUAAACUGCUUUUAUAUGUGAAGAAUAUGACGGUAACAUAUGAAUAAGGGUCGGCUAACUACGUGCCAGCAGCCGCGGUCAUACGUAGGACCCAAGCGUUAUUCGGAAUUACUGGGCGUAAAGAGUUGCGUAGGUGGCAUAUUAAGCGGGUAGUGAAAUCGUGUGGCUCAACCAUACAAACAUUAUCUGAACUGGUAAGCUAGAGUAUGAUAGAGGUAACUGGAAUUCCAAGUGUAGGAGUGAAAUCCGUAGAUAUUUGGAGGAACACCGAUGGCGUAGGCAGGUUACUGGAUCAUUACUGACACUGAGGCACGAAAGCGUGGGGAGCAAACGGG
rnacentral:rRNA from 1 species